rnacentral:rRNA from 1 species
UGUCGUCAGCUCGUGUCGUGAGAUGUUGGGUUAAGUCCCGCAACGAGCGCAACCCUUGUCCGUAGUUGCCAGCGAGUAAAGUCGGGAACUCUACGGAGACCGCCAGUGACAAACUGGAGGAAGGUGGGGAUGACGUCAAGUCAUCAUGGCCCUUAUGGCCAGGGCUACACACGUGCUACAAUGGUCGGUACAGAGGGUUGCCAACCCGCGAGGGGGAGCCAAUCCCAGAAAGCCGGUCGUAGUCCGGAUCGGAGUCUGCAACUCGACUCCGUGAAGUCGGAAUCGCUAGUAAUCGCGAAUCA